AAACAAACGUGACGGCGAUUUUCAAAAUUUCCACGUCGAUUACUCAAAAACAGCAGCAUCUAGAGAGCGCCAACAAGCAGAAAUCCAUUCAAGACUUUGCUUUAACGACGACAGAGAGAUUGAUAUCCCAUGAUACAUUGCAAACCGUGAUUAAAAAUGGGGAGCUUGUGCUAUGGACUAUGAACGCCGAUCUUUUCUUUUAUCCACAAUUUAAGAUAAAGACAUCACGAUUUGUUGUGCGUGAUACCUCGCUCUUUGAAAAAUCCGAAAAUACGUAACAAAUAUUACUACAACUGGGAGAAUGAAGUUUAGAAUGCUGACAACGAGAUUAUAGCCUCUCCAUCCCCACAGUAUUGGACCUAGAGACGCCACUAAGAUAGAAUAUAGCCAUAUGCCCACUAAUAUGACAGUCGCACGAAACGGAGUCAUAAUGGAAUGGUACUUGAGGGUAGCACAUAUACAAAGAUAUCGGUCAAUGCUUACAAAUGUUAAAUGCCAAAUCGAYGCAACGCUAACCAUGAUAUCACCACUAGUCCAUAGCAUUUGUACCACUUCGCCUAACACCCAKUCUGGUCCUGUGAUUAGAUAGGCAACCCAGAUCGGCAUCGCAAACACAGCUACUAACAAAUCUGUAACGGCCAAAGAAACAAUGAAGUAGUUUGUUACUUGUCGCAUACGACGAAACGUUUUGAAAGCCAUGAUUACUAAAACGUUGCCAAAUAUGGUUAAGAGAAUUAAGAUCACUACGAACAACGAGCUCACAACAACUGUCGAUACGGCAAAUUUUGGUGAUUCUUUUUCGAACGCGGUGCCAUUUUCUUCCGACAAAUUUGCUGCAGCCAUAUUGAAGGUUCCUUUGAUGCUCUUCACCAGUUCCCUGCGACUAAUCAAAUUAAAAAAGACGUUAUCUUGGCUACUCGAAUCUUUGACCAAAAAAAAAAUAUGAAAACAAASUCUAAUUUAGCACAUCUUGAUGCUUUAUAGCGGAAUGACGUUUCUUGAGAGCAAAGCUCAAUGAGCCGGGACACCUUAUUUCAAUAAUGAAAUAUCUGAUCCAUUAUAGUGAAGAGUUCGUAUAUGUAAAGAAAGAUUUGAUAGCAUCAUGCUCUCUUAUUACGAUUGGAGGGAAAAAUUAACGAUUGUAUACCUAUCGAGAGGAUUAUUCCAGUAUGGAAAUACUUGUAAAAAAAGACAGUUACCAUGAGAGACCAACGCACGGACGAUUUUCCAAUCAGCAGCUGUUGUCACGACUAGCCAAUCAACGCAUUGGCCAGUCAGAUCAGUGUAAAAGCCAACGCAAAAUCAAGUAAAUUUUGUUUUCAUGAUUUGAUUAAAGAUUGCAAUAGAGYACGAACAUGAACAAGUGUAUUCUCAAAAUUAACCUAUAAAAUGACUAGCUCGUUAAUGCGAAAACAGAUAUGGUUGCAUGUGACAUAUGUCAUCGUCGUCAGCAUUUACGUUCAUUUAACGAUACAUCGACAUGUUUACAAACGAUUAACUGCAGAAUAGAAUAGUUCAGUUAUUUCUCUCUUCAAAUGAUGUUACAAUUUUUGCAUUGUAUUAGGYAUAUGUAUAUCAGGUGAAAAGUGUCAUAUAAAUUUAAGUUUUUCUAAU